rnacentral:rRNA from 1 species
UACGUAGGGUGCAAGCGUUAAUCGGAAUUACUGGGCGUAAAGGGCGCGUAGGCGGCAGGCCAAGCGUGCGGUGAAAGUCCGGGGCUCAACCCCGGAUCUGCCGUGCGGACUGGUUUGCUAGAGCACUGUAGAGGCGAGUGGAAUUCCGGGUGUAGCGGUGGAAUGCGUAGAGAUCCGGAAGAACACCGGUGGCGAAGGCGGCUCGCUGGGCAGUGGCUGACGCUGAGGCGCGACAGCGUGGGGAGCAAACAGG